rnacentral:rRNA from 1 species
GUGGGGAAUAUUGGGCAAUGGGGGAAACCCUGACCCAGCAACGCCGCGUGAAGGAAGAAGGUCUUCGGAUCGUAAACUUCUAUCCUUGGUGAAGAUAAUGACGGUAGCCGAGAAGGAAGCCCCGGCUAACUACGUGCCAGCAGCCGCGGUAAUACGUAGGGGGCAAGCGUUGUCCGGAAUGAUUGGGCGUAAAGGGCGCGUAGGCGGCCUGGUAAGUCUGGAGUGAAAGUCCUGCUUUUAAGGUAGGAAUUGCUUUGGAUACUGUCGGGCUUGAGUGCAGGAGAGGUAAGUGGAAUUCCCGGUGUAGCGGUGAAAUGCGUAGAGAUCGGGAGGAACACCAGUGGCGAAGGCGACUUACUGGACUGUAACUGACGCUGAGGCGCGAAAGUGUGGGGAGCAAACAGGAUUAGAUACCCCAGUAGUCC